GGUUCUGCAUAUUUUAUUUUGAAUCUACUUGCCUUAGAUGAAGCUGAAACCCCCUUUGCAAGUUGGGGCAUUCAUGUUGUGGAAAAUUUUGAUGGAUUCAAUCAUUUGAAACUAUGCAAUUAGGCUAAGCAUAAUGUUCAAUAGACUGAUGUUGAUUUUCUUGGAUUGUUAUAAUCACAGUCUUAAUUUGUGUUUUGCUAUAGUUAAUUCUUCCUUGAUCAUAUAAUUAGCACAAUUAACUGUAAUAUAUGUUACUGUUCCUUUGUCUGGUCAGCGGGAUAAUGUUUGAGACCAUUUAGCAGUCUUGUGAUCAAGGUGUCUAAUAGCUAUGCAGUUGUGAUUCUUCUGGUUAGAAGUGUGUCU
rnacentral:misc_RNA from 1 species